rnacentral:rRNA from 1 species
GACGAACGCUGGCGGCGUGCUUAACACAUGCAAGUCGAACGGAAAGGCCCUGCUUUUGUGGGGUGCUCGAGUGGCGAACGGGUGAGUAACACGUGAGUAACCUGCCCUUGACUUUGGGAUAACUUCAGGAAACUGGGGCUAAUACCGGAUAGGAGCUCCUGCUGCAUGGUGGGGGUUGGAAAGUUUCGGCGGUUGGGGAUGGACUCGCGGCUUAUCAGCUUGUUGGUGGGGUAGUGGCUUACCAAGGCUUUGACGGGUAGCCGGCCUGAGAGGGUGACCGGCCCCAUGGGGGGGGGGGAGCGGCCCGCACCCUUCGGGGGGGAGGAGGGGGGGAUAUUGCGCAAUGGGGGGGAGGCUGAUGGAGCAACGCCGCGUGCGGGGUGACGGCCUUCGGGUUGUAAACCGCUUUCGCCUGUGACGAAGCGUGAGUGACGGUAAUGGGUAAAGAAGCACCGGCUAACUACGUG